UUAACUCCAGUUCAUUUUCCUGUUCCCCUUGUUUAAGUGUUCAGAGGAAGUUCUAUAGCAGAGGCUUGCAAUCUUUUUCUUUCUCAGUCCCCCCACCAACAUGCUAUAAAAAGUCCACAGCCCACCUGUGCCCCAACAACUGUUUUUCUGCAUAUCCAGUAGAUUAAAAACUGUAUUAAACUGAUAGUUCUACAGUUAAAUACACAUUGAAAAAAGGAUAAGAUAGUACUAAAAUUAAAACAUGAAUAUUAUGUUCAAGUAUUAAUAUGGCCAAGCCCUGCCGCCCAGGGCAGAAGCCCAAGCCCAAGCCCUGCCACCUGGGGCUAAAGCUGAAGCCUGAGCCUCACUGCACAGCACCCCUGUGGCAUGGGGCCCCAGGCAGUUGCCCUGCUUGCAACCCCCUAAUGCUGGCCCUACUGAAGCCAGUAGGUUUCAGCAUAUCAUGCAGGAAAAUGAACACGUGUUCUGGUAAUAAAGAAAAGAAAAAGCAAUGUGUCCAAAUAGCAUGAGGUGAAACAGCUUUUAUUUUUUGCAUGCGCUCUGGUUUCUUUUGGCAGACCCCUCCUGAAACCCAGUUGAGAACCACGGUUCUAUAGGACUGAGUGCUUCAGAGACAAAAGGAGAAAAAUGCUUUUGGGAAGGGCCCCGUUAUUGGUAGCUGCGAGAGCUGCUUUUGACUGAAGAAAUGAAAGAUCUUGGAAAUUCGAAUGCUACAGCAUAGCGAGCUCAGAGGAGACCGUGCAGAUUUCAUCAGCAGAGGUGACCAUGGAGUCCCAGAAUCACAAAAGAGCUGCAGCAUGGACCGAACGGGAGG